UGUAAGCGUAUACCAAAGUUGUUGCAGUUAAAACGCUCGUAGUCGGAAUUUGGCAGUUCCGGAUGUGUGCACGUCGUGUGCGCACUUCGCGGGGAUUGCUUUUGUGGUCUUGCGUAGGAUGAGGCACUUUUAUUAGUGAACGUCCUCACGCAACCACUUUUUACUGUGAGAAAAUCAGAGUGCUCAAAGCAGGCAUUUGCCGUGAAUGUAUUAGCAUGGAAUAAUAGAAUAGGACUUGGUUCUAUUUUGUUGGUUUGUUGGGACUGAGUAAUGAUUAAGAGGGACAGGUGGGGGCAUUUGUAUUUCGGUGCUAGAGGUGAAAUUCUUAGAUUACCGAAAGACAAACUGCUGCGAAAGCGUCUGCCAAGGAUGUUUUCAUUGA
rnacentral:rRNA from 1 species